rnacentral:rRNA from 1 species
CUGGCUCAGAAUGAACGCUGGCGGCAGGCCUAACACAUGCAAGUCGAACGGUAACAGAAGAGCUUGCUCUUGCUGACGAGUGGCGGACGGGUGAGUAAUGCAUGGGAAUCUGCCCUUUGGUUGGGGAUACCGUAUGGAAACGUACGUUAAUACCGAA